rnacentral:pre_miRNA from 1 species
UAUUUUUGUUCUCUAGCUUUAUAGUCUCUUGAGACUAUAAAGCUAGAGAACAAAAAAC